rfam:Ascaris suum AG00570, whole genome shotgun sequence.
UACAGCAGCGCGUGGCAAGGAUACUGCGAUGCGUCAUGUUGCAUCGUAUCACAGUUCUUUGUCACCCUUUGCAUCACG